UUACAUUGUAUUUGUUCAGAUAGUUUAUGGCAGCCACUGGAGAAGUAAAUAAUACAACACCUCAAAGAAUUGAAAACACACAUAGUGGCUGGCUUUUCAUCGUACAACUGAAAGAACAAGCUGGUCAGGAAAGUGAUCCCACCCUGCACUGAAGGAUGGAGUCAUCAACUCUGCAUAAACUAAACAUCUCCAAGUGAAUAUGGAUUAAUGUUUCUCCGACCAUGAAGAAAAUAUGCAUUUGAAAAACUGAACUAGAGGAAUUAUUGCUGCAAUUUUGUUUCCUCCUGAUAUCAUAAAUCAGAAUUAACCUGAGUUAGAUACCAAGAAGAAAAGAGGGCAUUCCCCACGCAUGUCUCAGCCUUUCCAGAGCUCAGCUGCCUCCAGUUACAAUGACUGCUGAUUGUGACGCUGCAGCCUCUGGUGUUCCUGAUGUAUUCACUGCUCUGACUUUGAGUGCCGCUGCUGAGUGCCUGGACAGAAAGUGACCCCUAGAACUGCAUGCAAUGGUUCCCAGAAAAUGGAGUUUCUUUUGAAGUGCAGACCCUACAAUGUCUCACCCCCCCCCCCAAGGAGACUUCUCAAAAGACUACUUACUAACUCUCAAGAUGAACCAGUUUUUUCUUUGUCCAUCCACCCAUGCUGAGUCUUUGCUGUUAUGUAGCAGCUUCUUCUAGCUUGAAACAUUCCUCCUAGAGGGAGGAAGAGAGACUGAGGAAGUUUACAAGACUCCUGAGACACACACACCUGCCCCAUCCAGGUAAUAUAAUUGGUGUGGUGAGAGAAAAUUCUUCAGUGGAACUGCGUUCAAGCUGUACAGAGAACUCCUUUUCACACAUUUUACACUGGGUGUGGUGGUUUGAGUAAGAAUGGCCCUCAUAGUCUCAUGUAUUUGAAUGCUUAUUCAUUGGAGUGAGUGGUGCUGUUAGAGAAAGAUUAGAGCAAAUAGAAAUGUAGUACUAUUGGAAGACGUAUUGUCACCAAGGUUGUCUUUGAGGUUUCAAAAUCUCCUACCAGGCCCAAAGCUCGAAUAAAGCCUCCAGGCUGGAA
rnacentral:lncRNA from 1 species